GCCGGAGUAGUCUAGUGGCAAUGACAAGAGACUGUAAAUCUCUCGCUGUAAAGCUUCGUAGGUUCGAGUCCUACCUCCGGCACCA
rnacentral:tRNA from 1 species